AUGCAUGUCUCAGAGUACAUGGAUUGACAGUGGGUCUGUGAAUGGCUCCUUACAUCAGCAGUCAUCUCAGUGAUAGAGUGUGGAUGAUGCCAGAUUGCCCAGGCAUCCAAUGGACAUCCUCCAAAACCUGGUGGCUAAUACACAGAAGCAACAGUCUGCUGCAGCAUAUGGCUUUUGAAUGCUCAUCCCUGCUGGAUUAAGUCAUGGCAGUGGAUUGCAACCAGCUGUCUGGAAGACUAGCGCCUGGUAAAGGCAGUAUGCUUGUGGCUGACUCAGGCUGGUCCCAUGGAAGACACCUGCACUGGCAGCAUCAUUUGUGGAAUACCACAGUGCUUGAUCACACGAACUUCUGACCUAUCAGCCUGGACUGUGGUGUAGUGGACCACAGUGGCCAUCACGGGUAACGGAGAAUCUGGGUUUGAUUCCGGAGAGGGAGCCUGAGAGAUGGCUACCACUACCAAGGUGGGCAGCAGGCGCGCAAAUUGCCCAAUGCAAACACAUCUUGCGAGGCAGCAACGAACUGCAACAAUUCAGCAGGCCUUCUCUUAUGCCAGCAGAAUCUGUAAUGGAUGCUAUCCAAACACAGUGAUGAGUACCAACUGGAGGGCAAGUCUGGUGCCAGCAGCUGCGGUAAUUCCAGCUCCAAGGGCGUAUACUAACAUUGCUGCUGUUAAAACACUUGUAGUCUGCCACUGGAUGCAGGUCUGUUGGGAGGCCCUGGGUGCCCACCCAGUCUUAAAGCUGGGAGGAACCCCAGGGAUACAACCCCUGGCAGUAUGUCCUGUGUCCCCAACCAUGAUGGUGAGAACUGCUCCUGCAAGAAGUCCCCUUCAGUGGGGACCCAAACCAGCAACACACCCCAUGCUUGUCAAUGGCCUAGGUCAGGGACAUGGUCCAGAGCUAUGCAAUCCACCCUUUGUCUGCUAUAGGAGCCCACCAUUGCUGUCACCGUGGAAAACUCAGUGUGCUCAAAGCAUCCUUCUGGCAGGAUGCCCGUCCGUGGAAUUGUCAAUGCAACGACCAGAUGUGGCCAUGAAGUUGUGCUAGCCUUGGAGCUCAUCCAGGAUAAUGUGAUGCUGUUUCACUGGGGAAAGAGAAGCUUCAAGCUAUUGGCACCCAGCUGUGCAGUUAUCUUUUGGAGAUGAUGGGACCACUCAAGGUGGAAGAUAUUGUUGCGCCAGAGGUGAAAUUCUUAGACCGCAGCAAGAUCAGCUGUGGCGAAGGCGUUCUGCAUGUCUGAGUUCGUCGAUCAAGAAUGAGAGCCUGGGGAGCAAAGAUGAUUAGACACCUUCGUAGUCCAGAGCUAUAAACCAUACCAGCUGAUCGCUGGUGGGGCAAUCCUAGGACCCCAUCAGAACUACCUCUCACCCCACUACGAGAAAUCCAAGCCUUUGGGUUCAGGGGGGAGUACUGCUGCAAGGCUGAAACUUAAAGGAAUUGACGGAAUGGCACCACAAGGCGUGGAGUAUGCGGCUUAAUUUGACUCAACACGGGGAACGUUACCAGGUCAGGACGUUGCUGGGAUUGACAGAUUGAGAGCUCUUUCUUGAUCCUUCGGAUGGUGGUGCAUGGCCGCUCCUGAUUGGUGGAGUGAUUUGUCUGGUUGAUUCCGUUAACGAGUGAGACAUCUACCUCCCACUAGCCCCAGUCUCGUACUUGUAGGGCUUGGAUGGUGGCCCCUCCAUGCUGUUGGUUGUCCCUAUGGGCCUCCUGGCUGUGAUGCUGCCAAUCCCCCGAGAGUGCUGGGUUCCCUUAAGACUUCUCUGAGGUGCUGAGCGUAAACCUCCAACAGUGCUAGCAUGCGAGAUACAACAGCAGGUCUGUGAUGCUCCCAGAUGUCCUGGGCCGCACGCGCACUACAUUGACACAGUGAAGGUGUAACCCUUGCUAUUAGCCUGAGGCCUGCCCAGAAGUGGGUGAGAAACCAUACAAGCCUGUGUUGUCCUGGGGAUAGAUGAUUGCAACUGUCUGCCUUGAACGAGGAAUGCCUUGUAAGUGUCUGUCAUCAGCAGACACUGAAUACGUCCCUGCCAUUUGUACACACCGCCCGUCGUUGCUACCGAUGAUAACAGGAUAGAGCCAUCCAGAGGUGCCAUGCCCCAGAUCUGGUGUGAGCCGAAAUUGGGCAAUGUCAAGUUAUUAGAGGAAGCAAAA
rnacentral:rRNA from 1 species